rnacentral:rRNA from 1 species
GACGAACGCUGGCGGCGUGCUUAACACAUGCAAGUCGAGCGGAAAGGCCCUUUCGGGGGUACUCGAGCGGCGAACGGGUGAGUAACACGUGAGUAAUCUGCCCCUGGCUUUGGGAUAGCCACCGGAAACGAUGAUUAAUACCGGAUAUGACCACUUUGCGCAUUCGUUGUGGUGGAAAGUUUUUCGGCCAGGGAUGUGCUCGCGGCCUAUCAGCUUGAUGGUGAGGUAAUGGCUCACCAUGGCUUCGACGGGUAGCCGGCCUGAGAGGGUGACCGGUCACACUGGGACUGAGACACGGCCCAGACUCCUACGGGAGGCAGCAGUGGGGAAUAUUGGACAAUGGGCGGAAGCCUGAUCCAGCAACGCCGCGUGAGGGAUGACGGCCUUCGGGUUGUAAACCUCUUUCAGUACCGACGAAGCGUAAGUGACGGUAGGUACAGAAGAAGCACCGGCCAACUACGUGCCAGCCGCCGCCGUAACAC